rnacentral:tRNA from 4 species
GGGUGAUUAGCUCAGUUGGUAGAGCGCCUGCCUUACAAGCAGGAUGUCGGCGGUUCGACCCCGUCAUCACCCACCA